GGUCUGUGGAUUGUAAACCUCUUUUGUUAGGGAAGAUAAUGACGGUACCUAACGAAUAAGCAUCGGCUAACUCCGUGCCAGCAGCCGCGGUAAGACGGAGGAUGCAAGCGUUAUCCGGAAUUAUUGGGCGUAAAGCGUACGUAGGCGGUUUUAUAAGUCUGUUGUCAAAGCCCGAGGCUUAACCUUGGAAAGGCAAUGGAAACUGUAAGACUAAAGAGAGAUAGGGGCAGGAGGAAUUCCAGGUGUAGCGGUGAAAUGCGUAGAUAUCUGGAAGAACACCAGUGGCGAAAGCGUCCUGCUGGAUCUCAACUGACGCUGAAGUACGAAAGCUAGGGGAGCGAAUGGGAUUAGAUACCCCAGUUAGU
rnacentral:rRNA from 1 species